GGCUACACAUGCAAGUCGAGCGGCAGCGGGAAAGUAGCUUGCUACUUUUGCCGGCGAGCGGCGGACGGGUGAGUAAUGCCUGGGAAUCUGCCCAGUCGAGGGGGAUAACUAUUGGAAACGAUAGCUAAUACCGCAUACGCCCUACGGGGGAAAGCAGGGGACCUUCGGGCCUUGCGCGAUUGGAUGAACCCAGGUGGGAUUAGCUAGUUGGUGAGGUAAUGGCUCACCAAGGCGACGAUCCCUAGCUGGUCUGAGAGGAUGAUCAGCCACACUGGAACUGAGACACGGUCCAGACUCCUACGGGAGGCAGCAGUGGGGAAUAUUGCACAAUGGGGGAAACCCUGAUGCAGCCAUGCCGCGUGUGUGAAGAAGGCCUUCGGGUUGUAAAGCACUUUCAGCGAGGAGGAAAGGUUGAUGCCUAAUACGUAUCAACUGUGACGUUACUCGCAGAAGAAGCACCGGCUAACUCCGUGCCAGCAGCCGCGGUAAUACGGAGGGUGCAAGCGU
rnacentral:rRNA from 1 species